rnacentral:lncRNA from 1 species
CUUUGUCUGACCAUAAUAAAGCUUUUACUUGCUAACACUUUGAUUUUAACUUCCACUCCCCCAACUGUUGCCCAUACUGACUGAGUCUGAUGGGCCUCAAAGCAGUUGGAAGGUCUCAACCUUGCUUAAUUGUUUGUUUGUUUGUUUGUUUUUAGGACUAGAAGACUCUCUAAAGCAAAGGGGCAAGGAAGGAGAACCUGUCUCUCCACAGGGAACAGAAGGAAUCCAGUACACUUCUCUGGACUUCAAGAUGGCUGC